AAUGAACGCUGGCGGCAGGCCUAACACAUGCAAGUCGAACGGGUCCUUCGGGACUAGUGGCGGACGGGUGAGUAACGCGUGGGAACGUGCCCCUUGGUACGGGAUAGCCCCGGGAAACUGGGAGUAAUACCGUAUGUGGUCGAGAGACGAAAGAUUUAUCGCCAAGGGAUCGGCCCGCGUUGGAUUAGGUAGUUGGUGGGGUAAUGGCCUACCAAGCCGACGAUCCAUAGCUGGUUUGAGAGGAUGAUCAGCCACACUGGGACUGAGACACGGCCCAGACUCCUACGGGAGGCAGCAGGUGGGGAAUCUUAGACAAUGGGGGAAACCCUGAUCUAGCCAUGCCGCGUGAUCGAUGAAGGCCUUAGGGUUGUAAAGAUCUUUCAGGUGGGAAGAUAAUGACUGUACCACCAGAAGAAGCCCCGGCUAACUCCGUG
rnacentral:rRNA from 1 species